rnacentral:misc_RNA from 1 species
AAAAAAAAAGAAAAAAAAAACCCAUAUGUCUAACAGUAUCUUAAUUCAUUAUCAUUAUAGUCACUUUUUAACUGACUCUGUAUGAUUAAAUUUUGGUUUUUAUAAAAAGAAACAGAAAAUUUUCAAACUGAUCCAAGAUUAAGCGUUAUCUAAAUAAUGGUUCUCAAAAUUUUAAAAUAUAUUUCUUUAACGAAAAAGUUUAGGUGAGGGAUACUCCCCCGUCAAAGAUUAUAUUGAAGUCUCCACAAAAAUAAACUUUAAUUUUAUAAAACAAUAAAAAAAAUAGAUUUUAAUCUUUGGCCAUUUAUAUGAGCAGAUACAUUUUUUUUAAAUAAAUAAUUUAAAUUUAUAUAUUCAUGUAAAAUAUUUAAGACAUAAUUUGUUUUUAGUGAAAGACACAAUUUUAAGUUAUUUAAUUAUUUCCCUAUAAUUAAUAACAUAAGACUUGCAUAGACUAAUAUGAC